GUCAAGGUAGCUCAGCUGGUUUAGAGCGCUGGUCUCAUAAGCCGGAAGGUCGGGGGUUCAAGUCCCCCCCUCUUGACACCA
rnacentral:tRNA from 1 species